rnacentral:misc_RNA from 1 species
GAAAAACAAAAAAAAUUAAAAGUGGAUAUAAUAAUAAGCAAGUUAUUAUUUUAAUGAUUCUUCAAUGUGUGUAUUUGUUGAAGUAAAUAUAAAAACGCUAUGGCAUUGAUGGAAAUAAAAUUGUGGGAUGUUAAUAAUGAUUUUUUAAAUGAUAAUAAUAAUGAUGAUAUUAUUGUUGAUGUUGUUGAUGAUGAUGAUGAUAAUGAUAAUGAUAAAAGUGUAAUAGCUGAUGGUAUUGAUGAUAUUGAUUGUAUCAGUAAUAGUGUUUUUGAACCAUUGAGCGAUUCAUGUGGCGAAAGCGAUAUGGAGGGACUUGAUUUCUCCAUGUUUGAGCCACAUCAAAUUGACACUGAUUUUAUACAUCCCUCACGAGUUUAUACGGGCACACUUGACCUUUUAAUAUCCAACUGUGAAGCAGACUGCUGCAUCAGCGAAUCAUCUGGUGAAGUAUGCUGGGAGCCUUGUUAUUGUGUACUUCUUCAGGAUGAACAGACACUCACUGCAUACCGAAAUGAAGACAUGGCUCACUUCGCAGGAACUGGAUGUGUCUUCAAAAAUCAUGGAAAGAUUGGUGAUGCAAUGUUUGUUGAAUUACCAAGAAUACGUCUUGAUGGUGGAGCAAGAACAUUUCGUCAAUAUUGGGGAUAUGAAACACGACCACUUGCUCCACCACCAACACUCAUUGAAGAGGAUGAAGCUGGUAUUGAACCAGAAACAGUUAGUCUACGUGAAACCAACACCGCAUCUCCAAUAGAUUGCUUCUUGAGAAAAGUACGAACUUUACCAGGUCGAAGUUUAAAAUAUCAACGACAUACAAUACAACCAGAAAUGACAUGCCCAUUAUCAAGAAUUAUUAUUGAUACAACUCGACAACAUUUAUUACCCAGUGAGUUAAAGUCUAUGUCAUUACCACGCGGUUUUCCUCCACUGGAAAAUACAGAUAACAUUAAAGAUACAUCGUAUGAGAAAGCAUGUAGAAGGGGCAGUGCACCAGCAACACCAGUUCUUGGAGCAAGGCCACUUGAUGUUACACCAAACAGAAUUGUUAAUUUUUUUUCAAAACGAUCAUUUCGUUCAAAUCCCUUGAAAAGAACCAAGAGUGUAACAAAACUUGAACGACAAAAACAACGUGGUAGUGGUGGUGGUUUACGAGGUUGUCGUUCACAUGAAUCAUUAUUGUGUGGUCAAGCUGUAACAGCAAUGGAUCUUGCUGCAGUUACACCAUUGCAUCCAAGUUUACUUGGACGACCUCAUUGUUUUCAAGUAACACCAAGUACUGGUGCACCAAAAUAUUUUAGCUGUAGAUCAGCACAUGAACGUGAUCAAUGGUUACACAGUUUACGUAAAUCAGUACAACCAGAUGCUGAACAAACACGUCGUACAGAUAAUUCAUUACAAAUAUGGUUACUUGAAGCAAAAGGUGUACCACCAAAAAAACGUUAUUAUUGUGAAGUAUGUCUUGAUAGUACACUUUAUGCACGUACAACAGCUAAACAAAAAACUGAAUUAUGUUUUUGGGGUGAACAUUUUGAUUUUCAUCAUUUACCAAUUGUUAAUAUAAUACAAGUAAAUUUAUAUCGUGAAGCUGAUCGUAAAAAAAAACGUGAUAAAAAUGUAUUAAUUGGUUCAGUAAGUAUACCAGUUAAAAAUGUAACAUCACGUUAUUUAACUGAAAAAUGGUAUCAAGUUAUUGGUGAAAAAGGUAUAUUAAAAGAUCAACCAGCAUUACGUGUUAAAUGUCGUUUUCAAUCAGUUGAUAUAUUACCAGUACAAAUAUAUACAGAAUUUUUAAAUUAUUUAAAAAAUGAUUAUUCCGUAUUAUGUGAAUGUCUUGAACCAAUGAUUGGUGUUAAAGCUAAAGAAGAUAUAUCAACAGCAUUAGUUGCUGUUAUGCAAUGUGAAAAAAAUGCAUCAAAAUUUUUAGCUGAUCUUGUUAUGAUGGAUAUACAUAGAAUUGAUGAUGAAAGAUUAACAUUUCGUGGUAAUUCAUUAGCAACAAAAGCUAUGGAAGCAUAUUUAAAAUUAACUGGUGAUCGUUAUUUACAAGAAACACUUGGUCCAGUUAUACGUGCUGCUGUUGAAGGUGGUGAUUGUGAAGUUGAUCCACUUAAAGUAUCAUCACCAGCAGCAUUACAUAAACAACAACAAAAUUUACGUUCAGCUGUUGAAUUUGCAUGGGGUAGAAUAUUAGCAAGUCAUUCAUUAUUUCCACUUGAAUUACGUGAAUGUUUUCGUAUAUUUCGUGAACGUUUAGCACAAUUAGGACGUGAUGAUAUUGCUGAUAAUUUAAUAUCAGCAUCAAUAUUUUUACGUUUUUUAUGUCCAGCAAUAUUAAGUCCAUCAUUAUUUAAUAUAACACAUGAAUAUCCAAAUGAAAAAGCUGCUAGAAAUUUAACACUUGUUGCUAAAAGUUUACAAACACUUGCUAAUUUUACACGUUUUCAAGGUAAAGAAAAUUUUAUGGAAUUUAUGAAUGAUUUAUUAGAACGUGAAGCUAAACCAAUGAAAAAUUUUUUACAAUUAAUUAGUACACCAUUAAAUAAUGAUUCAUCAAUUAAUAAUUCACUUGAAUUUGAUGGUUAUAUUGAUUUGGGUAAACAAUUAUCAUUAUUACAUGCAUUAUUAAGUGAAAGUUUAUCAACAACAAUGACAAAUACAUCAACAACAUCAUCAACAUCAUCAUCAUCAUCAACAUCAUCAUCAGCAUCAUCAACAACACAUCAAUCAUCAUCAUUAUUACCACCAAUUAAAUUAACUGAUAUACUUGAUAAAAUAACAAUUGCACUUGAUCAACCAGGACCAAGUCCAGUAACAACAACAACAACAUCAUCAUCAUCAUCAACAAUAACAUCAGCAACACGAAGAUAUCAACAUCAUGCACAUCAAAAUAAUAUUUUUCGUUAUAAUGAUCCAACAAUAAAUAAUAGUAAUACAAAUUUAUCAAUAUCAGCAACAUCAACAUUAAGUGGUCAUGAUACAAUUAAUAGUAAUCAUAAUAAUCCUUGUAUAUUACGUGAAAAUAGUGAUAGUGUAUUACAACAAACAAGUAGUAGUACACUUUAUAAUUCAACAACAAGUUUAACAAAAUCACCAAACGUAAAUGGUGUACGUUCAGCAACAUUACCAAGAAAUGCAUAUUUACCAACAACAAAUGGAAAAUUACAACUACAAAUAACAACAUCAUCAUCAACAAUAGCAACGAUACCAGCAACAACAGCAACAACAACUACAGCAACAACAAAUGAUGAUAAUUAUCAUCCAAUUGAAUCACCAGCAUUUGUAUCACGUUCACCAACACCAAUUUCACGUCAACAAAAUCGUUCAGCAUUGACUAACAAUCGUAAUAAUAAUAACAAUAAUAUUACAAAUAAUAACAAUAGUAAUACUUAUAAAUUAACAACAAGUGCAAGUUUAGCUAAUGUUAAUAAUUGUCGUGAACAAAAUUAUCAAACAACAAGUCCAUUACGUUCAGAAAGUCAUAGUAAUUUAAAAGAUUCAAAUUAUAAUAUUAAUAAAUUAAAUCAUUGUAAUAAUUAUGAUACAACAAUUAUUGGACAAAAUAAUCGUAAAUUAAUAAGUAAUAAUAAUCAUUUAAAUGAUGAUAAUUAUUUACCAACAACAAAUUUUAGUAUAAUACGUAGUGGUAGUAAAAAUCAUUGCAACAAAGAUGAUAAUUUAAAUCAGCACAAUUAUAAUAAUAAUAUAACAAAAACAACAGUUAAUGCUAAUCCAAUAAAUACAACAAAUUUAACAUUAUCAAUAAAUCAUCAUAAUCAACAAGGACAACAACAACAACAAAUAAAUAAUAAUUAUAAUAAUUUAAAAAUAAAUAGUAAUAAUAAUAAUACAACAACAACAACAAAUGGUAAUCUUGAUGAAAUAUCAGAUUUAUUAAGAUAUGCUGAUGAUGAAGUAUCUGAAAUAAAAUCACAAAAAGGUUCACAAAUAUCAAUAUCACAAUUAAGUAAUGUUGCAUCAUCUGGUUAUCAAAGUUUUGCAACAUAUAGCCAAAGUUCAAGUCCUGUUGAUUUAACAAAUAAUGGUAAUCAACAUAUUAUUAAUACAGCACCACUUGCAUUUGCAAAUCCAGUAUAUCAUAUGGAUAAUAAUAACAACAAUAAUAAUAAUAUUAAUAACAACAAUAAUAGCAACAAUAAUAACAAUAGUAAUGGUGUUAUUAGUGGUAGACGUGGUAGUACAAGCUCAGAUGAAAAUCGUGAUGUUAAUAAUACUAUUGGAGGUGGUGGUAUUGAAGUUAUAAGAGGUGUUGAUCUUAGUCCAUCACCAACAUCAAUACAAAAUAAUAUUAGAAAUAAUAAUAAUAAUAAUAAUAAUAAUCAACGUAAUGGUGGACAAAAUCAAUGGAGACAACAACAAAAUUUAACAGAUCAACAGCAGCAACAGCAGCAACAACAACAACAACAGCAAAGAAUAAUUAAUGAACAAAAUCAAAAUUCAACAUUUACUAAAUUACGAAGAAGAUUGUCACUUGAUUCAACAAGAGAUUUAUCUGAUACAAGUGAUGAUGAAUCAUGUACAACAAGAAGAAAUAAAUCACGUAAUCAUCGAACAAUUGAUCAGUAUGAAGUCGAAAUCGAAAGAUUACAAAAUAGUGUGGAUAGACUACGUGCACGUUUGGGUGCACCAGAUGAUGGAGAUAUUAAUGGAAAUGCACCAGAUACUAAAAUGAAGAAUAUAAUCACCAGGACAAAUAAUAAUGUUAAAAAAUUAAUGAAGUCUACGUAUGUUUAAUUGAUUGUGUGUGUUUCUACUCGCUGCCUUAAAACUCUCUGGCUUGAUCUGGAUCGUGGUGUUGAUAUCUGUGGAGGAGGAAUUGCGAAGAGAACAACAAAAAAUGUCGGCAGCAUUGUCGUACAAACAGCGCGUGAUAGAUGCACAGGAACAACAGAUUGCAGCAUUGGAUG